CUAAUGCCCCAUAGAGGCGAAAGAGAAAAGAAGAGCAAUCUGACUAAAGAGAAGCUCGCGGCUGAUUAGCUAGUUGGUAAGGUAAGUGGCUUAGCAAGGCGACGAUCAGUAGCUGGUUUGAGAGAACGAUCAGCCACACUGGAACUGAGACACGGUCCAGACUCCUACGGGAGGCAGCAGUGGGGAAUUUUCCGCAAUGGGCGAAAGCCUGACGGAGCAAUACCGCGUGAGGGAUGACGGCCUUUGGGUUGUAAACCUCUUUUAUCAAGGAGGAAGUUCUGACGUGUACUUGAUGAAUAAGCAUCGGCUAACUCCGUGCCAGCAGGCGCGGUAAGACGGAGGAUGCAAGUGUUAUCCGGAAUCACUGGGCGUAAAGCGUCUGUAGGUUGUUUAAAAAGUCUGCAGUUAAAGGUUGAAGCUUAGCUUCAAAAAUGCCGUAGAAACUUUUAAACUAGAAGGAUGGUAGGGGUAGAGGGAAUUU
rnacentral:rRNA from 1 species